CAUGUACUCCCUCCGUCCGAAAAUACUUGUCGAAGAAAUGGAUAAAAAUGAAUGUAUCUAGAACCAAAAUACAUCUAGAUACAUCUAUUCCUCCGACAAUUUCCGGACAGAGGGAGUAUAUG
rfam:Triticum aestivum genome assembly, contig: Triticum_aestivum_CS42_TGACv1_scaffold_249177_3DL